AGAGGCUGGAAUAACCUAAUAAGACGAGAAGACCCUAUGGAGCUUUAAUCUAACUUAUUAGCUUAUAUCACAACUAACCUACUGGUUUAAAAACAUAAAAGCAUAAUAAGAAGAUUUCGGUUGGGGUGACCUCGGAGCAUAAAAAAUCCUCCGAAUGAUUAUAAGCUAAGGCACACAAGCCAAAGCACCUAUAAUCUUAUUGACCCAAACAUAUUUGAUCAACGGACCAAGUUACCCUAGGGAUAACAGCGCAAUCCUAUUAGAGAGUCCAUAUCGACAAUUAGGGUUUACGACCUCGAUGUUGGAUC
rnacentral:rRNA from 1 species